ACAGGGAGACAACAACUGAUCGUGAUGUCUGAGUUUUUUUAUUCUUAGGCCAUGAUCCUGUCAUCUCGAAGGUCGAUCGGUACCUCAACUUGAGGGUGAGAGAAGGACUGAGUAAUCAGUCUAGAGACUUACCAAUCAAUUUCAGUUCCUAAACUUUGUCUAGGUCACCCCACAGAGGGUAAAGCCGAGAACGUGUGCAGCAAUGUGCAUGUUGAAUCUGGCCAGCCGAAAGGCGAGCUGGAAGCGGCAACAACUCCUGGGCCAUUAGCUCAGGUGGUUAGAGCGCACCCCUGAUAAGGGUGAGGUCCCUGGUUCAAGUCCAGGAUGGCCCAUUCUUGUUUGGGGGUUUAGCUCAGUUGGUAGAGCGCCUGCUUUGCAAGCAGGAUGUCAGCGGUUCGAGUCCGCUAACCUCCAUCCAAUGAUAGUGUGCCCCAAGCAACGAUUUUAAAGGAGUUGCUGGUGAGGUGAUUUAGAUGGUUGACGCUGAGUCAAAUUGACUCCAGCCUCGUGUCAUUCUUGGUUUUGACCAAGUUGUUACGAUGCUGGACUCAAUGCGUUCUGGAGACAGAGCGUAUUAGAGGAUCAGCAGAACCUUGACAACUGCAUAGGUGAGUCUGGAAAGAAUAAGCAUCUCAUGGAUGCUGACUCGAGAGAGUCAGUGAUUCUGUUUUGAGAGCCGAGACCUUCUAGCGUUCUUACUAAGGCGCCGAGCCGAUAGUGAGUCUGAUCCUUGUUUGCAUGCAAACUUGAGAGAAUAGGCCUCAACAGCCUGAA
rnacentral:tRNA from 1 species